rnacentral:pre_miRNA from 1 species
AAUAAGUGCAACCAUGAGUUUCCGCGCCGAACUUUGAUCGUCCGUCUUAUUUGAAAUUUUUUUAUACUUAGUAAUUUUGUUGUUAUAAGAUGAUAAAACAUGAAUAGUACUUUACUCGUGACUUAUGUUUUUAAUUUUUUUCAAAAAAUUUUCAAAUAAGAAGAAUGGUCAAAGUUGGGCGCUGAAAACCAUGGCUGUACUUAUU